CUUUGUUCACCCCCCGGAGCCGUGUGAGACACUUUAUUUUAUGGAAUGGCGCUCAUUAAUUUACGUCUUUUGGACUGAAGUAAUGCAACACCGGCUGAGUGUAACGAUAGAGCCUGAAAGAUCAAAGACAGUUUUUAAUAUAACUCCGACUGGAUUCAUCUGAAAGAAGAUAGUCAUAUACACCUAGAAUGCCUCUGGGGCUACAACUGCACCAGAACCUGCAUGUCUGCUGCUAACAGAUCCCAUCCUGAGCUCUCAUUCAGGGAACAAUCACAGCUUUAUACGGCAGAGAAACUUAAUCUGCAAGAGCGUCGAUACCAGAAACCCAUCAAGGCCACGACAAAACCCUUAAUGAACUUAUUUGGGAAAAAUCAGGGCUGCAAUCUCAUCCGGAGAGCCACGCAGGGCCCGAUGGGAAGGCCUCGUAAAGCGGCUUUAGCAAGUUUUGGAAGAGGAGGGAAGGAUUGACAUCCCGUGGUAACUAGGAUUUACACAAGCUCCAGUCUGAAUCCAGCCCUUACAAAGGGAUCAUCGUCUGUUUGAUUCCGUCUUUAAUUGAUUUUUCCGUACAUUUCUGCCAUGUGUACAUUUACUGACA
ensembl:lncRNA